GACAGAGGCCUCAAGCGUUAGGCGGAAUCACUGGGCUUAAAGCGUGUGUAGGCGGAUCGUUAAGUGCCUUGUGAAAUCCCACGGCUUAACUGUGGAACGGCUGGGCAUACUGGCGGUCUUGAGCCAUCUAGGGGCGUGCGGAACUUCCGGUGGAGCGGUGAAAUGCGUAGAUAUCGGAAGGAACACCGGUGGCGAAAGCGGCGCGCUGGAUCCCUUCUGACGCUGAGGCGCGAAAGCCAGGGGAGCGAACGGG
rnacentral:rRNA from 1 species